GCAGGGAUGGGUGUGCAGUGUACAGGGCUACGUGCUCUCUGUCCCUGUCUCCUGAGCACCCACGGUACACACCCCAGGGAAGUGGCUUGGGUCCUUGUUUUCACUAGCUCUACAUUCUAACACCUAGAGCUCUCUCCAGACUGGUGCUGAGAGCACAGGAUGUGGAAAGAGCACUGGAGUGGGAGCCACGUAGACCUGGCUUCCAGCCCAGGAGAUGUCUUUCUAUGUAUAAAGGGGGUCCUGAAGCCCUGGGGACAUCCCCUGGUAGCAGGGGAGACCAGCGUCACCCCCCAUCUCUCUUCUCUGAUGCCCUCUUGUGCACAGUGCUACAUCGAUGGGCCUUAUGGGACCCCCACCCGCAGGAUCUUUGCCUCUGAGCACGCCGUGCUCAUUGGGGCAGGCAUCGGCAUCACCCCCUUUGCUUCCAUCCUGCAGAGUAUCAUGUACAGGCACCAGAAAAGAAAGCAUACUUGCCCCAGCUGCCAGCACUCCUGGAUCGAAGGUGUCCAAGACAACAUGAAGCUCCAUAAGGUGGACUUUAUCUGGAUCAACAGAGACCAGCGGUCUUUCGAGUGGUUUGUGAGCCUGCUGACUAAACUGGAGAUGGACCAGGCUGAGGAGGCUCAAUAUGGCCACUUCCUGGAGCUGCAUAUGUACAUGACAUCUGCACUGGGCAAGAAUGACAUGAAGGCCAUUGGCCUGCAGAUGGCCCUUGACCUCCUGGCCAACAAGGAGAAGAAAGACUCCAUCACGGGGCUGCAGACGCGCACCCAGCCUGGGCGGCCUGACUGGAGCAAG
rnacentral:sRNA from 1 species